rnacentral:rRNA from 1 species
CGGGUGAGUAACACGUGGGUAACCUACCUAUAAGACUGGGACAACUUCGGGAAACCGGAGCUAAUACCGGAUAAGAUAUCGAACCGCAUGGUUCGAUAGUGAAAGAUGGUUUUGCUAUCACUUAUAGAUGGACCCGCGCCGUAUUAGCUAGUUGGUGAGGUAACGGCUCAUCAAGGCAACGAUACGUAGCCGACCUGAGAGGGUGAUCGGCCACACUGGAACUGAGACACAGUCCAGACUCCUACGGGAGGCAGCAGGA